rnacentral:lncRNA from 1 species
AUGUUAAAAAUUGCUAAAAACGCAGAUUUACACAUGCAAGGAAUCCGGGACGUCAAGUGGACACGCCGGAGGUGAUACCCGCGGAAAAGGUGUGCUUUGAAGGUACAAAUAAAUCUCUCUCGGAUGAUGAUCAAGCACCUUGUCAAGAACCGAACACGCAAAUUGAAGCUUCCGCAUGAAUAUAAUUUUGUCUAAACUUUAAACAUGUCAUAAAUACUUUUGGUUGAUGGUGCUUUGAAUCCUU